rnacentral:piRNA from 1 species
UUUUUAUAUUCUAUCGACAAA